UACGUAGGGUGCAAGCGUUGUCCGGAAUUAUUGGGCGUAAAGAGCUCGUAGGCGGUUUGUCGCGUCUGCUGUGAAAACUCGGGGCUCAACUCCGAGCUUGCAGUGGGUACGGGCAGACUAGAGUGCGGUAGGGGAGACUGGAAUUCCUGGUGUAGCGGUGGAAUGCGCAGAUAUCAGGAGGAACACCGGUGGCGAAGGCGGGUCGCUGGGCCGUAACUGACGCUGAGGAGCGAAAGCAUGGGGAGCGAACAGG
rnacentral:rRNA from 1 species